GGCUUCGUAGUUCAGCUGGUAGAGCGCUUGCCGCCUUUUGAGUGUGGCGUUUCUGUCGUUGAUUUGAAUCCAGCCGAAGCCC